AAGGAUUUAAGUUAAUAAAACUCUCAACCUUCAAAGCUGAAAAUAGAUUCUAUCUAAGCCUUA
rnacentral:tRNA from 1 species